CCUACGGGAGGCAGCAGUGGGGAAUCUUGCGCAAUGGGCGAAAGCCUGACGCAGCCAUGCCGCGUGAAUGAUGAAGGUCUUAGGAUUGUAAAAUUCUUUCACCGGGGACGAUAAUGACGGUACCCGGAGAAGAAGCCCCGGCUAACUUCGUGCCAGCAGCCGCGGUAAUACGAAGGGGGCUAGCGUUGCUCGGAAUUACUGGGCGUAAAGGGAGCGUAGGCGGAUAGUUUAGUCAGAGGUGAAAGCCCAGGGCUCAACCUUGGAAUUGCCUUUGAUACUGGCUAUCUUGAGUGUGGGAGAGGUAUGUGGAACUCCGAGUGUAGAGGUGAAAUUCGUAGAUAUUCGGAAGAACACCAGUGGCGAAGGCGACAUACUGGCCCAUUACUGACGCUGAGGCUCGAAAGCGUGGGGAGCAAACAGGAUUAGAUACCCUGGUAGUCCACGCUGUAAACGAUGAGUGCUAGUUGUCGGCAUGCAUGCAUGUCGGUGACGCAGCUAACGCAUUAAGCACUCCGCCUGGGGAGUACGGUCGCAAGNUUAAAACGUCAAAGGAUUGACGG
rnacentral:rRNA from 1 species